UGCAUCUUGUACUGGUGGUAUUGAAAACUAUUUGGUUUUCAACACAAUUCAGAGUUGGUACACUGUGUUACUGUCUGUGUUCUUCAUUCAGUGGGAACCAACAGGGGAGCAGAACUGUCAAAGGAAACCAGUUUGUCUGCUUGUGUCAUAGAUCACUGAAACUGCUUAUCUAUGCAGAGGCAGCUGGGUUUAUCUCUGCAGAUAAAGCUGAGGCAUGAGGAUAUUUUAGAGGGAUCAACUGGCACUGAUUUUGUGUAUCUAAGAGAUUACAGAUUAGCCCAGUGUUCUUUGGGGAUGCUUCAUGUCACUUCAACAAACUCAGAACAUGUUCCAGUACAAAAUCAUGAAAGAGAAGGAGAACACAGGUUUGGAUCAAACCCUCUGUGCCAUGAGAUCAUGUCCCUCCCAGUGGAAGCCGUAACACUUCUAAGCCGUAACACGGUGUAG
rnacentral:lncRNA from 1 species